GAUGAACGCGGCGGCGUGCUUAACACAUGCAAGUCGAACGAUGAAGCCCAGCUUGCUGGGUGGAUUAGUGGCGAACGGGUGAGUAACACGUGAGUAACCUGCCCUUGACUCUGGGAUAAGCCCGGGAAACUGGGUCUAAUACCGGAUAGGAGCGCCUGUCGCAUGACGGGUGCUGGAAAGAUUUUUCGGUCAUGGAUGGACUCGCGGCCUAUCAGCUUGUUGGUGAGGUAAUGGCUCACCAAGGCGACGACGGGUAGCCGGCCUGAGAGGGUGACCGGCCACACUGGGACUGAGACACGGCCCAGACUCCUACGGGAGGCAGCAGUGGGGAAUAUUGCACAAUGGGCGGAAGCCUGAUGCAGCGACGCCGCGUGAGGGAUGACGGCCUUCGGGUUGUAAACCUCUUUCAGCAGGGAAGAAGCGAAAGUGACGUACCUGCAGA
rnacentral:rRNA from 1 species